UACGUAGGGUCCGAGCGUUGUCCGGAAUUACUGGGCGUAAAGAGCUCGUAGGUGGUUUGUCGCGUUGUUCGUGAAAACUCACAGCUCAACUGUGGGCGUGCGGGCGAUACGGGCAGACUAGAGUACUGCAGGGGAGACUGGAAUUCCUGGUGUAGCGGUGGAAUGCGCAGAUAUCAGGAGGAACACCGGCGGCGAAGGCGGCCCCCUGGCCCGCAACUGACGCUCAUGGUCGAAAGCGUGGGGAGCAAACAGG
rnacentral:rRNA from 1 species